GGUUUUUCUGUGUAGCCUUGGGGCCUGUCCUGGAAUUCACUCUGUAGACCAGGUUGGCCUGAAACUCACAGAGAUCCGCCUGCCUCUGCCUCCCCAGUGCUGGGACUAAAGGCGUGUGCCACCACUGCCUG
rnacentral:miRNA from 1 species